AUUGAACGCUGGCGGCAUGCUUUACACAUGCCAGUCGAACGGUAACAGGCCGCAAGGUGCUGACGAGUGGCGCACGGGUGAGUAAUGCAUCGGAACGUGCCUAGUCGUGGGGGAUAACUACUCGAAAGAGUAGCUAAUACCGCAUACGAUCUAUGGAUGAAAGCGGGGGACCGUAAGGCCUCGCGCGAUUGGAGCGGCCGAUGUCAGAUUAGGUAGUUGGUGGGGUAAAGGCUCACCAAGCCAACGAUCUGUAGCUGGUCUGAGAGGACGACCAGCCACACUGGGACUGAGACACGGCCCAGACUCCUACGGGAGGCAGCAGUGGGGAAUUUUGGACAAUGGGCACAAGCCUGAUCCAGCAAUGCCACGUGCAGGAAGAAGGCCUUCGGGUUGUAAACUGCUUUUGUACGGAACGAAACGGCUCUGGUUAAUACCCGGGGCUAAUGACGGUACCGUAAGAAUAAGCACCGGCUAACUACGUG
rnacentral:rRNA from 1 species